rnacentral:rRNA from 1 species
AUACGUAGGGGGCGAGCGUUGUCCGGAAUGAUUGGGCGUAAAGGGCGCGUAGGCGGCGCGGUAAGUCUGGAGUGAAAGUCCUGCUUUCAAGGUGGGAAUUGCUUUGGAUACUGCCGCGCUUGAGUGCAGGAGAGGUUAUCGGAAUUCCCGGUGUAGCGGUGAAAUGCGUAGAGAUCGGGAAGAACACCAGUGGCGAAGGCGGGUUACUGGACUGUAACUGACGUUGAGGCUCGAAAGCGUGGGGAGCAAACAGGAUUAGAUACCCUGGUAGUCCACGCUGUAAACGAUGAUUACUAGGUGUUGGGGACCAAAGGUCCUCGGUGCCGCCGCAAACGCAUUAAGUAAUCCACCUGGGGAGUACGUUCGCAAGAAUGAAACUUAAAGGAAUUGACGGGG